rnacentral:lncRNA from 1 species
UGCUCCUCCCUCUCCCUGCCUCCCAUGGCCAUAGUGGCUGUGAUGGGGGGCAGAGCUCUCCAGCAGGAGAGACUUGGAGCGAAGCUGAGCACUGGAGGAGUCUCAGUGGCGACUCCGAACCCCUAAGCUUUAUCCAGGGAUUUCUCAGCAUCGCCUGUCCGCUUUGCUAGGGGAAAGGGUGGUGACGAGGCAGUAGCCGUGAGGCAAGACGAGUAUUCGGGAUGUUGUGAGCAGGACAUGGGAGAGCAGUGGUGCCAGACUGAGCACGCUAAGCAGUGGCUGUGUUCAGACCAAAAGCAGGGACCCUGGACAUUAGCAACUGCAAAUGGAGUUACUGCCCUGUGCUGUCAUGUGUUGCCACCAAAUGUGAUGGAGGAGAAGCCACAGAUGCCUUCAGCUGAAAGAGAAGGUAGACUCCUGCAUGGGUAUGUAGGCUGGCCUUUUUCUUUACCUGUUUUUCAGUAGGUUGUCAAUUGACACUGCAGCCUUCAGCCUACUUUGACCUGUCAAGAGGGAGAACGUAGCAAGGUGUUGUGGCAUACCAAGGCAAAAACAUGCUGUGUUCAGUGUUCACAACUUUAAGUAAGUUUGGGGCUUUUUUUUUUUUUUUUUUUUGUCUUUUAGACAAAGGAAGCAGCUAAGAAUUAGCAGGAGGACACCAAAUGGCUUGCACAUUUGCUUUUGCUUUGUCAGUAAAUGCAUUUUAUUUUUACACCUCCUACUUUAUUUAUACACCUCCCUAAUAUUGGUAAUUUUCAUACAGCAUGUGGACUAUCAACAACAAAGUAUAUCCAUUAACUCUAAGACUAGAAAGAGUAAUUUUCCAAUAAAUAAACCAUGCUUGCUGCUUACUUUCUGAGC